AAAGGAGCCAUCAUUUUCCUUGAUCUGUUGAUCAUCCCAAUUGUUCCCAGAGACCCUCCUUGUCACGCCCAAUAUGCGACCCUAUCCAAGAGGAACUGGAAGGUCCCACCAAGGAUAGACCCGCAUAUUGAAACGCUUCUGCAAGGUGGAUAUCAUUACAUCAACAUUACAUAAUAGAUGGCGAUACAUACAAAAGGCAUACAAUGCCACACGAAUACAACAUCAUCUUACAUAAGAUCACCAUCUGACUACGGAUGAACACAAACAGAAACUCAAACGACAUCCACCCUGCUAGCCCAGGCUGCUGACCUGGAACCUAUCCCCUGAUCGAAGAAGAAGCAGAAGAAGAACUCCAAACAGGCAAACAUCGCUCUCGCGUCAUGAUCAUCGCGUAACCUGUACCUGCAACUGUUGUUGUAGUAAUCUGUAAGCCACGAGGACUCGGCAAUCCCAUUACCAUGGGUAUCAAGACACGCAAAGCUUAAAGGGUAAGGAAGGGGUAAAGUGGUGAGGUUGCAGCAGCGACUAAGCAUAUAUGGUGGCUAACAUACGCAAAUGAGAGCGAGAAGAGAGCAAGCAGAACGGUCGUGAAGCUAGAAAUGAUCAAGAGGUGAUCCUGAACUCCUACUUACGUCAAACAUAACCCAAAACCGUGUUCACUUCCCGGACUUCGCCGAAAAGAGACCAUCACGGCUACACACGCGGUUGAUGCAUUUUAAUUCGGAUCUGGUGUCAAGUUGUCUACAACCGGACAUUAACAAAUUCCCAUCUGCCACAUAACCACGGGCACGGCUCUCGAAAUUUUAUACCCUGCAGGGGUGUCCCAACUUAGCCCAUGAUAAGCUCUCGCGAUCAACAAAGGAUAUUCCUUCUCCCAGGAAGACCCGAUCAGUCUCGGAAUCCCGGUUUACAAGACAUUUCGACAAUGGUAAACAAGACCAGCAAGACCGCCCGAUGCGCCGACAAUCCCGAUAGGAGCUGCACAUAUCUCGUUCUCAGGGCAACACCGGAUGAGAUAGGCUACGAGUAAAACCAGACCUCGAGUUUCCCCGAGGGGGCCCCGCAGGCGGCUCGGUUCGGACCAACACUUAGACAAGCACUGGCCCGGGGUGGCUAAAAUAAAGAUGACCCUCGGGCUCUGGAAACGCAAGGGAAAAAGGGGUAGGUGAGGCAAAUGGUAAAACCAAGGUUGGGCCUUGCUGGAGGAGUUUUAUUCAAAGCAAACUGUCAAGGGGGUCCCAUAAAUCACCCAACCGCGUAAGGAACGCAAAAUCCGGGAACAUAACACCGGUAUGACGGAAACUAGGGCGACAAGAGUGGAACAAAACACCAGGCAUAAGGCCGAGUCUUCCAUCCUUUACCAAGUAUAUAGAUGCAUUAAAUUAAAUAAGAGAUAUUGUGAUAUCCCAACAUAAUCCUGUCCACCAUGGAGCAAUCUUCAACUUCACCUGCAACUCACAACGCUAUAAGAGGGGCUGAGCAAAGCGGUAACAUAGCCAAGCAACGGUUUGCUAGGAAGGGUGAAAAGGUUAGAGGCUGACAUGGCGAUUUGGGAGGCUUGAAGAGCAAUUGAUAGGUAGCGCAGCAAAGCGAUAGAACGAAGCAACUAGCAUAGCAAUGAUAGUAGUGAGAUCUAGGGUAGCAGUCAUCUUGCCUGAAAUCCCGCUACAUGAAGAAGACGAACGGGCGUAGUCGAACGAAUCCUCACAAUCGCAACGUUACCGGAACUAAGAAGUAACACCGGAAAGAAACAAACAACAUGGUAAACACACGAGCAUAAUCAUGGCAUGAUGCACAAACAAGCAUGAUGCAUGUCCGGUUUAAUGAGGCAUGGCAUGGCAAAGUGCAACAAACAAUACUACAAGUUAAGUGGAGCUCAAUAUGCCACGAGUUGCAUAUUGACAAAACACCACAUUGACAUAUUUAGUUUAAUCUCGUAUAAGCUACCAAACAAUAUUAAAUGUUGUUAAACAUGGCAAGAGGUGAAGCACAAUAAAACUACCUAUCUAGGCAAGUUUAAACGAGGCCGGAACAACAAACAAUAAUUCCGGAAAAUCCCCAUGUGCAUAUUUCGAAUUUGGUAUUCUGCCCUAAAACAUAUUUUAUUGUUGUUAAACAGGAAAAUAAAGUGGACCAUGUUAAACUAGGCAUUUUUCCACCCCAUUUACAUAUAAAGUUUAUUUAAAACCGAGCUACGGUUAUUUAGUUAUGAAAUAAAUCAUUUUAACAUGGCAUUUAAGCAAAUUAAAGCAAACAGCAUUUUAAACGUUUUAAACAUGGAUGAAAAUGGCAUAUAAUUAAUCUACACAAAAUUCUAAGCAUCUUACAUGUUUAAAUCAUUUUAAUCCGAUGCACGGUUAAUGAGUUAUUAUAUGCAUGAUGCUUAGGGGUUUUUCUGUAAAACAGGCAGUCUCUGGUUAAAUGACAAAAUUCGCAGCGCAUGGAAAAAAUACAUGGGCCAAAACUAGCUGGCCCAACAUGCACAGAAGAGGGGCUGGGCGCUGCUCACCAUGGGCCAUGGCCCAGUCGGUGGAGGAGGUGAGGCCGGAAGGGGUGCUGGGCCUGGGGUGGCUGUGACCCAGCCGGAUCGGUCAAGGGGCGAGCGAGGGGUCGGGCGAGCUGCUUUGCUCAUUUCUGAAGAACAGAAACAGCAGCACACCCAUGGCGAUGCAGAAGACGGCGGCAGCGGGACUUGGCGCGGGGACUUGGGGACGAGCUCACUCCAGCGAGGGACUUGGCGGGGCGACGACUCCCUGGUGGCUUUGUACAGCUGCAGAACUUGGCGCGGCGAGCAUGGAUCCGAGGCAGGGGACUCGAGGAGGACUUGGCGCUGGCCUCGUCCUCGAAGCGGAGGAAGCAGGUGCGCGACGGGGAGGGUCUUGGCAACGGCGGAGGAGGUCGUGGCGGAGCGGUUCCCGGCGUUUGUGGCUGAACGUGGCAGCACCCGUCCAUGGCAACUCGAGGUCGUCGGUCGUGGAUGGUUUCUGGGAGACAGAGAGCUCCAUAUGAGAGAGAGAAGAACAGGAAAGGAGGAAGGGAAGGAGAGGGCGCGAAGGGGGGCUCGCCUGGGUAGCAGAGGGUGUCGACAGGAGGAGCUCCACUCCGGCGAGGUGGAACUCCGGCAUGGCACACGAAGACGACGGUGAGACAGAGAACGCGCGGGUGUUGCGAGACUCGCCGGUGGUCUCGAUCCAGACGGGAGCGGGGCUUGGUGCCCGAGCGGCUGCUGCGCUCGUCCAGCUGGCGUAGCAAGGAGGGGAGGCUGCGUGCAGUGGCGAGGAGGACCUUCGUGGGGAUCGGUAUGGCUGGGAUGGAUUGGUCUGGUGGAGGCAGAGAGUGGAGGCGAAGGGGAUUGGAUCGGAGAAAACAGUGGAGGCGCUGGGUUGGGUGAUGGGGAUCCCGAGGAAGAUGCGGCGGUGGCGGGGCGAGGGACAAAUGUCCUAGAUUUUAGGGUUGGACUAGGGAGUGGACUACUAUAUAUACUAGGAUGUAAAUAAAAGGGGGAUUCUGUACCAUCCGAUUAAAAUUGGACGAUCGGAGAUUAAUAGGUUGGAGGAGUCCAACAAAUAAUUGAAGAUGUUUAAGGGUUGUUUGAGGAUGAACCGGACCCAUCGGUCACAACUGCCCGGUUUGGGUUCGGGAGAAGUUUUUGGACUAGGUUGCGAAGGUGGUCGGUGGUUGUGCAGAGAGGCUCAAACGGUCAGACAACAAAAGAACGGAUGGUCUCGAAAGAGGCAACAACAAAGGCAUUGAGGAGAAGCCAGAACUAGAAACGGAUGCAAGUUUAAUGAAAAACUGCGAAUGCAAUGCGAAUGAUGCGGUGAUGAAAUGCAACAAACAAAUAAAACACACAACGGUCACGCAAAACAUGGAAGGCGGCUGGAGCGUCGGCCUUGGGGCGUUACAACACUCCACCACUACGAGAGGAUCUCGUCCCGAGAUCUAAUGAUGGCACCGGAGGGAAAAGUAAGAGGAAGAGAAGAGGUAAAACUAAGUUGCUUCUUUGACCAAUGAGUGAAACCACGAACCUUGAGAGGUUGAGCAAUUUAAAAGAAAGAGUAACAACAGAGAUGAACGAGAUUGUAACCAAUCCGUUAGAAAAGAGGGACAAGGAGUAUUACGAGAACUUGAAGGUUGAAAGACAUGGAAAUAAGAGCUUCAUGAGCGAAAAGAAUAUGACCACCUCAGUAUAAUGAGAUAGCCAAGGAACAAGAAUGACAGAAUUUAGACAACACUCCGGUUAAAACUAGCUAGAGAAGGAAUAAGAUUGAUAUAAUUUGGGCAGCACUCCGACUGAUAGAUAAAGGAAAACUUGAUAAGAUGAAAAGAACUUGAAGAGAAGACACAACACUCUGGUUUAACGGAUAAGCACGAAAAACAUGAUCCUCACAAUUCGAGAUGAUGAGUGAAAAGAGCAACAUCACAAUGCCUCCGGAAGAAAGAAUAGAAGAUAGAUCAUUGGAAUAACAGAAUGGAGAAGAAAACGACAUCUUCUUCCACAAAUGAACUUGAAAAGCAUCCUUGCAAAGAAGAAUUGAACGGAGUUGUUGGAAAAUCAACAACGAAAAGCACAAGCUUGUUAUGGGUUUAUGGAAAACAUCUCAAAAUGAUGAGGUGACAACCGGCCACUAACAGAAACAAUUGCUUGCUUGAGAUCAACGAAGAUAAGAGAAACUUCUUUCACCCAGAGGAUAAUUGGAGAACUUGGGUCAUCGGCAAGCACCACAAUUAGCAACAUUCCUUCGGGAAGGCUUUUAGGUGAAAUCUAUACCAAGAUAACUCCAACGAAGAGAUCGAUGGAUUUAAAAUACCUCAUUCUUGACGACAUGUGAAUCACGAAACAUGAAUGGAAAUUGUCAAGAAUGAUAUAACACCACCUCAAAAGAUAAGGUAGAAAGAAUUACACUUUGAAAUGCAAGAAGAAGAAUACUUGAUCUCCUCAAACAAACAUGUGUUGAGCACCAUGUUUAAUUUUGAGUAUAGCUUGGCGGAUCAUAACUUCGAGAGAAAUCUUGAAGAACAACUGAAGAAUGAAAGGAAUCCUUGACGAACCACCAUGUAGAGCCUCCAUGAAGAACUCCGGUAAUAAAAGGAUGAUAAAAAGAAAGAGAAGUUGAAAACACAAGGUGAAGCUUUGCAAUGAUUUAGAUGGAGCUUCGCGACGAUAUAACCAAGAAAACUUGGAAUUCCGAAAAAGGAAAAGAUGAAACACUAGAACCGAGAAUUACUUCAUCAUGAACAAUCUCCAAAAGAAAAGAAUUGAAUCACCUCGAGGAAAUAAGAAUAAGAUUUAUUGUAUGCUUAUCCUUCAUCAAAUUAAAUUGAUGCCAAGCAAUGGAUUUGGCAUACUACUUAUUCCCGUAGAAAGGAUUAAGAGAGAUAUAGCACAAACUUGAGAAGGUAUUGAUGGAACCACUGGUGUGAUUUGGAAACAACGAAUAUUUGAUAUGAUAACGAAGGAAGUGAAAUCUUGAACGAACGACCGUAAUAAUAGAAAAUGAAAGUAGCAAAGGCACGAUUCACCGGGAAGAAUUGGAAAACAAAUGAAGAUACUUGAGGGGAUUUAGCUACCUGAGAACGAAGAGAUCAUGAACUGAUUAGAGGAUAUUAGAAUGAUUCACCGGUAAGAUUUGGAGAAUGAUAGCUACACGCUGAGAAUGAAGAAUUUUGACAUGAUGGCCUUUAGAGGAAAGAAAUGGAAACAACUCAUGAAAUGCUCCGGAUGGUAAGAAAAGAAUUGUCACAAUCAAAAACAACUAUGAGGAUGGCAUGAAGCUAGAACCAUGAAUCUCUGGAAGAACGGGUAAGGAUUUAAAAGGAACUCUUCUUCGGUCUUCAAAAUUCGAGAAUGACGACGAGAAACACCACCAAAUUGCUGAGAAACCCCGGAAGGGUUAAAAGAGGAAAAGGUUGAGCCAAAGCUGAAAAUAAUUUGAAAGAGACCUUGGAGAAGGCAUGUGACUGAUGAAAAUUUAUUCUUACAUCAAACUUGGAAAAGAAUUUGGGAAUGGCUCCUAAUAAUUAGAAGAGUCAGGUAAGAUCCUGGGAAAAGACCUAUGGGUUAGGGCCCACUCAAAAGAAACACCGUUGGAAAUGAUUUUAAAGAGAAAUUGCACCGGUUGAAUUAAAUGGCUUGAACGGAUUAAGAAUGGAAACACCAAUCUUCCGAGAUAUCUUCAACACUCCGGAACAAAUGAAUAGCAAGAGGUGAGUGACUAAGAGGUGCACCGGCAUGAGAAAGCAUUUGACACGAGGAAAGGAAUAUGAUCAACACUGAAAGCUUGAAUUGGAUCCACCGGAGAAGAAAAAGGAACAAAGGAUGAUGAACUUGAAGCUCGUGAGCAUCUUCACGAGGGAUCACUGGAUCAGAACAUUGAUUGAAAAGAGUGAAGUGACUUCACAUGAAUAAAUGGAUACUUGAUUAAAAUAAAUGAGUCCUUGAAGAAAAGGAUGGGAGGGUGGGGAAAAACAAAGACAACUUGGGAUGAACGAAACAAACACCGUUGAGAAAACUUAGAAUUGAUCUUGCGGAUGGGGAGAAUGAUGGGAUCAUCUCGAAGAGAAGCGCACCGGUUGGAAAAGAAUUAACAUGACAACCUCAAUGAUCAAAAGGAUUAGUAUUCAUAUAGCAAUAUGAGAACAUCGUUUAGGAAAGGUAUGGAUUCAACAUUUGACUUCGAAGCAACUCGAAUACCACAAAUAAAACAAAACAAAGGAUUGGCUUGCAGAAUAAGCCGGAACAAAUACAUAUGAUAGAGAUUUACCCAAUCUUAUAUCAUGCAUCUGUCGGAAAGAUAUUCUAGGAGCUACUUGAAUUCCCACCUAUAAAACUCCCGAAACUUUCUGGUUAUGCAAUCUGGUGUUGGGGAUACAGGGGAAGCAAUAUAUCUCACCCAAACUAAUAAUCCCUACAUCCAGCUGUAUCCAUCCAUCAACACAUAACCAAGAAAACUCCGGAAAUCGUGUACCUCAACCUUCGAAAAGCAUCCGUUAUAUGAGCUAUGGCAAUACUCCCGAACUCCCCAGUACUGGGUGGCGUCGAGGUUAUCUCAUCAACAACUGCAUAAAAGAGAUUUUCGAUGUCGGCAAAACUCAGGUAUUCCAGAACUGCAACGAUAAAAUUGUGACGACAACACCUCGGAGCUCAACUCCCCGGGACACUGCCACAACCCCUAAAUGUCAGGAGGUACCAAGAACAAUGUUCUUGUCACAAGACUAUCGGUACGAUUCCAAGAUACCCGCGUGAUCCUAAAAAAAAUUAGUGAAAUUUGAGGAGAGGAAAGUCAAAACAUCUACGUCAGGAGACCUCACCAGAGCGAAGAAGGGGGUUGAGCAGUAAAAAGAAUCCUACUCUCCGAUAUAUAUAAUCCUAAGACUCAAAAUAGUUUUUUUCUAGACUCAACAACGGCCAACAAACAAGGGGGCUCCUAUGGUCGGUCGAGGCUCUAAUACCAACUUGUCACGCCCAAUAUGCGACCCUAUCCAAGAGGAACUGGAAGGUCCCACCAAGGAUAGACCCGCAUAUUGAAACGCUUUUGCAAGGUGGAUAUCAUUACAUCAACAUUACAUAAUAGAUGGGGAUACAUACAAAAGGCAUACAAUGCCACACGAAUACAACAUCAUCUUACAUAAGAUCACCAUCCGACUACGGAUGAAACACAAAUAGAAACUCAAACGACAUCCACCCUGCUAGCCCAGGCUGCCGACCUGGAACCUAUCCCCUGAUCGAAGAAGAAGCAGAAGAAGAACUCCAAACAAGCAAACAUCGCUCUCGCGUCAUGAUCAUC
rnacentral:lncRNA from 1 species